AUACGGAGGGAGCAAGCGUUAUUCGGAAUCACUGGGCGUAAAGGACGCGUAGGCGGGUUUGUAAGUCAGGUGUGAAAUCCUACAGCUCAACUGUAGAACUGCACUUGAAACUACAGACCUAGAGUAUGGAAGGGGCAGAUGGAAUUAGUGGUGUAGGGGUAAAGUCCGUAGAUAUCACUAGGAAUACCGAAAGCGAAGGCGAUCUGCUGGGACAUUACUGACGCUGAGGCGUGAAAGCGUGGGGAGCAAACAGGAUUAGAAACCCUAGUAGUCC
rnacentral:rRNA from 1 species